GAUGUCAUGAAAAUGGAAUUGGUGUUCUCAUUUACAGUACUUAUACCAUGUGAUGAUGUCUGUGUGAAACAAAUAGUAGAAGACACUCCUAACCAUUAUAAACAACUAAAGUGAUGUUAUUCUGCUUCGAGGUCCUGUUGGUACCACCACAAAUUGGAAUAUCACACAUGCACCAGACACCACCUUCAUAAGUGUCAAACCCAUCCAUGCCAGAAGUGGAACAGUGGAUGUUUGAUUACAGGAGAUGCUGACAACUUUGUUU